UACGGAGGAUGCAAGCGUUAUCCGGAUUUAUUGGGUUUAAAGGGUGCGCAGUUUGUUUGAUAAGUCAGUGGUGAAAGUCUGUCGCUUAACGGUAGGAUUGCCAUUGAUACUGUUAGACUUGAAUAUGUAUGAGGUAGGCGGAAUGUGUAGUGUAGCGGUGAAAUGCAUAGAUAUUACACAGAACACCGAUUGCGAAGGCAGCUUACUAAUCCAUCAUUGACGCUGAGGCACGAAAGCGUGGGGAUCAAACA
rnacentral:rRNA from 1 species